CUACGGGGGGCAGCAGUGGGGAAUAUUGGACAAUGGGGGAAACCCUGAUCCAGCAAUGCCGCGUGUGUGAAGAAGGCCUGCGGGUUGUAAAGCACUUUCGGUUGGGAGGACUGCUUCUAGCACUAAUAUUGUUGGAAGUUGACGUUACCUUCAGAAGAAGCACCGGGUAACUCCGUGCCAGCAGCCGUGGUAAUACGGAGGGUGCAAGCGUUAAUCGGAAUUACUGGGCGUAAAGCGCGCGUAGGCGGCUAGAUCAGUCGGGUGUGAAAGCCCCGGGCUUAACCUGGGAACUGCAUCCGAUACUGUCUAGCUUGAGUACAGGAGAGGAGAGUGGAAUUCCACAUGUAGCGGUGAAAUGCGUAGAUAUGUGGAGGAACACCAAUGGCGAAGGCAGCUCUCUGGCCUGAUACUGACGCUGAGGUGUGAAAGCGUGGGGAGCAAACAGGAUUAGAUACCCCUGUAGUC
rnacentral:rRNA from 1 species